rnacentral:misc_RNA from 1 species
GCAUGCACUGUUCUAGCCUAAGCCUAACCUUUUCUUGCCUCCACUUGCCCGAAGCUCUCGAUGAGCUGCGUCAGGUUCUCAUACGAGGAGCCUCCUUUCUCCAUGGCGCCGUGAGCUUUCUCUCCGUACUCCCUGGCCCUCCGCCUCCUCUCGCCGGCCUCUUUCCCUUCGCCCAUCAGCGCCGACACCGCCCGCGCGACGUCCCCACGCGCCACCACCACGCUCUCGUCGUCGAACACCAUCACGGGCGCCGUCACGCCGAUGGGCACGCCCACGCCGAGCACGUCCACCGCCAGCCGCUCGUUCAGGAACUGGUCGGCGAAGUGGGGCCACGUGACCACCGGGACGCCGUGCGCGACGGACUCCAGCAGCGAGUUCCAUCCGCAGUGGGUGACGAAGCCCCCCACGGCGCGGUGGGACAGGAUGGCGAGCUGCGGCGCCCACCCACGCACCACGAGACCCCGCCCCGCCGCGCGCGCCUCCAGGGCUCCCAGCCACUCCCGCACCUCCGGCGGGGACGCCUCGGCCAGCUUCACCACCCACAGGAACGGCCUGCCGGAGUCCUCCAGGCCAUGCCCCACCUCGAACAGCUGCUUCGGGAGCUUCCGCGCGAGGCUGCCGAAGCUGACGAACACGACGGAGCCGGUCUCCUUGGAGUCGAGCCAGGCGGCUACCGCGCUGUGCUGCUGGCCGCCGUCCGCCCCCCGCGACGACAUGGCGUCGGCGUCCCGCUCGCGGAGGCAGAGCGGCCCCAGCGUCCACACGGGUUUGCCGAGCGCCGCCUCGUAGCACGACACGAACUGGCCCUCGAGGCCCACGAACGUGUUCACCACUGCGCCGUCGGCCGCGCGCAUGGCCUCCACGCACUCGCCCCGGACCGCCUCCCACCCCGGCGAGUUGAAGAAGCCCGGCGCCGUGGCCUUGGUCACCUCUACGUGCACCGGCAUGCUCGGCACCACGAAC